UUUUUUUUUUUUUUCUCUUUGUCUCUCUCUCUCUCUUUCUCUCGCAUAGAAGUUGCGAAUCGACAAAGGAAGAAGAUGCACUCGAUGGAUAUGGAAUCAGUGGAGGUUGGGGUCGAAGGUGAUGGCUAUGGAGGAGAUAUAAUCGGCGGAGGAGAUUUCGCGAGUAGAUCAUUGGUUGGGUUCUGCGUCUGAUGAGGUUUCUUCAAAUGCAGAUGAGUUAAGUUUCGGGUUUCUAGCUUAUAUACGAGUUAUAGUGCCAAUCAGUUCGAAAAUUUUAUUGGGGACACCAAUUGUUUGUGGAAAUGUGUAUGAGAACAUGCGUUUUUAUUUGUAUUAGUUGAAAGUCUUCUCUGCUCGCUCUAUGGACUAUAGAAAUAACUCAGAAGAAGCCGUGUACUGCACUUGAUGUAUGAGAAUAUAGUGUUGCUUCAUAUGUUAAAAGUUUUAAGAUUUACAGAACCAUAAUGAGACAAAUCUAGCUAAAACUUUAUACAGAAGUAAGCCCUUCCAUGAUCUUUGAUGAAGUUUGUAGCUUUUACUAAGAUUGAUUGUGUACAAAAUGAUGCAUCUUACUCUCUAAGAUGCUAUAAUGUUGGAUAUUUUAGGAUCCUUGUAUCUAGAUGUUGAAACUAAAUGUAAGUUUUGCGAUCCAUUGUUAUCAAGGAUCAGCGACCAAUGGUGGUAUCGUAAGUGAAGGGUUCCUAAGAUGGAGAAAUGGACUUGGUGCAGAGGUUCAUGCAGGAUCGGACUUGCUGAGUUUCUUUUGUUCUAUCCAGAUAUAAUGUUUCAAUUAUCAACUGUAGAAUUGGUGAUUCAUGUGUAAUCUAUCCAGAUAUAAUGUUUCAAUUAGCAACUGUAGUAUUGGUGAUUCAUGUGUAAUCAACCCGAGGCGAAGAUCAUUGGUGUAGAACCAGCUGAUGCAAAUGCAAUGGCGUUGUCCCUUAAUCACGAUGAGAGGGUGAUAUUGGACAAGGUUGGGGAUUUUGCAGAUGGUGUAGCAGUUAAAGAAGUUGGUGAAGAGACUUUUCGUAUAAGCAGAAAUCUAAUGGAUGGUGUUGUUCUUGUCACUCGUGAAUCAAUAAAUGUACGGUACUGUCCUUGAUUCGUUAUCUCUUGUGUUAUGGUGUUUUGCAAUGUAGAUAUUAACAAAUAGCAUCAAGUGUUAACAAUCUGUUAACAAUGGUACUUCUGUUUAUUGUGUUUUAAUGUUUUCAAUGUUUAAAACUUUAUGAAAUGCAAUAAUUUUAUAAACAUA